GACGAACGCUGGCGGCGUGCCUAACACAUGCAAGUCGAGCGAGGAACUUCGGUUCCUAGCGGCGGACGGGUGAGUAACACGUGGGUAACCUGGCUCAUAGAGGGGGAUAGCCUCCCGAAAGGGAGAUUAAUACCGCAUAAGAAGCGAAAGUCGCAUGGCUUUAGCGUUAAAGGAGUAAUCCGCUAUGAGAUGGGCCCGCGGCGCAUUAGCUAGUUGGUGAGGUAACGGCUCACCAAGGCGACGAUGCGUAGCCGACCUGAGAGGGUGAUCGGCCACAUUGGAACUGAGACACGGUCCAGACUCCUACGGGAGGCAGCAGUGGGGAAUAUUGCACAAUGGGCGAAAGCCUGAUGCAGCAACGCCGCGUGAGUGAUGACGGCCUUCGGGUUGUAAAGCUCUGUCUUUGGGGACGAUAAUGACGGUACCCAAGGAGGAAGCCACGGCUAACUACGUGCCAGCCGCCGCAGUAACAC
rnacentral:rRNA from 1 species